GUUUAAUGGGUUUGGGGUUUGGAGGACUAGUUCAUGUAGUAGUGGAAAUUUAGCUGGAAAGCUUUCACCUUGGGCUUUUCAUGUGUUUCAUACUUCCUGCCUUAUAUACAGGAUACUUCUCUGUGAGGUUGAGAUUGCAAAUCAGUCCACUAGUUCAAAAGUGAGAAGAAGAUCUAGGAGAAAAAAUGCAGCCAAGUGCAAUGGACAAGAUGGUCAGAUGAAAGCUUUGAGCACUCAAAUCCAUUCUGUAUUCUGCCCAGAGUGCCAGGGUACUGGUGCAAUCAUUGAUGGAGAUGACCUGGAGAAACCAAAUCUCCCUCUGUCUCAGAUGUUCAAGUAUAAGAUAAAGGUGAGUGAUGCACGUAGAGCAUGGACGAAGAGUCCUGAAAUGCUGGAGAAUUGCUCGACAGGUUUUCAUUUCCUUUUUAAUUAAGGAUAACAAUGAUCAUAACAAACUCAAGUUUGCCUUUGUGAUUUUGAUGCUUGGAAAGGGUGAAACCAUUAAAGUUGCUGCAUUUCUACAGAGCAGAUUAAUAGAGUUGGCUUCAAGAACAGUGGGAACCAUGCGGUCGGUUGUUUUAGCUUCUCACCGUAGCAUGUAUGUACUUCUAACGUGCACCUUCUUGUUGUAUAUGACUGGCUCAUGAGUAGGACUUUGGAGUGGACAGGCGUAGGUUGUAUGGGGCUGUUAGCUUUUGUGGAU